GGAAUAGGGAGCCAAAGUUCCUCGAGAAUGAAGACAAACUUGCAUCGCAAUUGCUUCAUUCUGCACUUAAUAAAGUGAUCAUACUCCGAGACCAAUAUGAUUGGUUCAUAGCGAAAAACGCUUCGGAGAUGUACUUUCCUUUAGGUUAUUUAGAUAACCCAAGUGAGAAAGUACCUCUAAACGAUCUACCAGGGCCAUACUUAGCCUUGGUGACCGAGAUCGAGCAAUUCUUUGAAUCGCUGAUCGGUUUAGAGAUGAACUGGACUAAUCAUCCAGAGGCUAUAUACCAAGACCUUUAUAUGGAAAUGGAUGCCACACUUUAUUACGAAGAGGCCCUUGAACUUCACGAAAGAGUUGAUAGACUCGAGUUUAAACUUAAACCUUAUGAAGGUCGAGUUAAACCCGGGAAAACAAUCCACGAGACUGCGCCCAUACUUACUGCUUUACGCGGUAUUCUGGGUACUGGUCUACGAAGAUGGAACAACUCUCCUAAUCGAGUAACUAUUAGUACGUUACUUAAUUAGGUCGUGGUAGGAAUCUCCCGCCUUGAAAAUCAGAUGAAAGGCUCCUCAAUAGAGAGACCGACCCUUUGGGGACGACUCUACGAUGAGGAUUCUAUCUUUCAACUUCUCGACACUUCGAGAAACUUCUGUUAAGUUUAUUAACAAUAAAAACCAUACCUCUAGGUCCGGGUGAAACACCGGGAACCCAUGGAGGGUAGUUCUUACCAGAAGACUCCAAGAAACGGAAGAAGAAGAAAGAUGUGUCCAACUCGCAUAAAAUCUAUGCGCAUCGGCCUGACCAAGGGCACUGGGUGUUAUACCAGGUAACUUGGAAGGGGACCGACGGUGUGGAAACCUUUCUAUCCGAUUCAAUCGGUGGAACUUCUUAUUUAUACAAACCAGAGUGGUUCACUGAAGAACCCUUCUCGGCUCAGUACUAACGAGGCAUUUCUUUACAGAUAUGCGCAGUUAGGACUAAGGUCCGAUCUUAAC
rnacentral:misc_RNA from 1 species